AAGCGAUGGUACGGGUAAUAUUAAAUUUUUACUUAUAUAGUUUGUUUUCCAAUGAUUGACAAUUAUUGUUUCUUUUUUUACUUUUGAGCAGUUGAAAAGAUGUGACUAAAAGAAAAACUAAAAAUCCUAACAAAAUCCCUAGAACACCAAAAGACAAAUGAAGCAUCAGAGAUUAACUAAGAAAAAUUUUGCUACUUACGGCUACGGAAUUCUGCUCCAAUUUUUAUUCACGUUUGAUUAAUGUUCUAGCAUUGACGAAGGUAGGAGUUGCAUAUUUAUUGAUUUGUAAGAAUAAUUCGUGCAUUGUUAUUUAAUGGAACAUCUGAUUGGAAGUUUUGGUGAUUUGCGGACUUUCUUAAGAGACUGAAGCAGUUAAAGUUAGUUAUGGGUGCCCCCCAUAAAGCUUGGCGUUAACAUGCCAGCUCAGAUCAAACUCACGGUUAGAAGUCACGAGAAUUAGUUAGUUGGUGAAGCAACACAAGAAUUCUACGGUGUCAUCCUCUUCUUUGGUAUAAUCGACAUAUUAUAAGGCAUUCAAAUAUGACCCGUUCGCUCACAUGCUUACAGAAACUUCAAAUAACACUUGAACACUCUUCUACAAAUGAAGAAAGCACUUGAACACUCUUCUACAAAUGAAGAAAGCACUUGAACACUCUUCUACAAAUGAAGAAAGAAACAAACGCCAUAGAGGGAAAUCAACUUGAAGGAUCAACCCAUAAGGCCUUUUGGUAAUAGGUAUGUAUGUUAACAUGUAAUCCUUUGGGUCCACUUCCUAAAUUUGUAACAUUUUGGUUCAACUGAAACAUGUCGCCAGAAUGUUUAAUUAGUCUCUCCAAUUCAAUAUAGAGUGUGUGUGUUUGUACA